rnacentral:misc_RNA from 1 species
GAUGAAGAACGUAGCGAAAUGCGAUAAGUAAUGUGAAUUGCAGAAUUCAGUGAAUCAUCGAAUCUUUGAACGCACCUUGCACUCCUUGGUAUUCCGAGGAGUACGCCUGUUCGAGUGUUAUGAAGCUCUCAAAACGCAAUUGGCUUAAAACCUGAUUGUUGUUUUGGAUUUGAACUUUGCCGUGUUAUAACGGCUGGUUUUAAAAGUAUUAGCUGGUACUAGAACGAAUUGGUUCUACUCAACGUGAUAAUUAUCUGAUCGUUGAGGACAUUCCUUUCACGAGGAAUGGCCAUAGUAAAUUCAAUGGACUGCUUCUAAUCUGGCUUUAAUUCUUUAUUGGCUUAACCACUUUUCAAAUCUGACCUCGAAUCAGGUGGGACUACCCGCUGAACUUAAGCAUAUCAAUAAGCGGAGA